rnacentral:misc_RNA from 1 species
GAUGAAGAACGCAGCGAAAUGCGAUACGUAAUGUGAAUUGUAGAAUUCAGUGAAUCAUCGAGUCUUUGAACGCACAUUGCGCCCCCUGGUAUUCCGGGGGGCAUGCCUGUCCGAGCGUCAUUGCUGCCCUCAAGCCCGGCUUGUGUGUUGGGUCUCGUCCCCCUUCCCGGGGGGACGGGCCCGAAAGGCAGCGGCGGCACCGUGUCCGGUCCUCGAGCGUAUGGGGCUUUGUCACCCGCUCUGUAGGCCCGGCCGGCGCUUGCCGAUCAACCAAAACUUUUUUCCAGGUUGACCUCGGAUCAGGUAGGGAUACCCGCUGAACUUAAGCAUAUCAAUAAGCGGAGGA